rnacentral:lncRNA from 1 species
GCAUGGCUUAGCGAAUUAGUUGUCGGAGUAUAGUUGUCGUAUUAUAUUUGAUGAUAGAGUUUUAUGCACACCUCUCAUUCGUUGCAAGAUUUGGGGUAGAAUGUGCAAUAUUUAGAAUUUUAGCAUGAAAGGAAAAAAUUAACAUUGAUUUAUACUAGUCAAAUAGAGAAAAAAUAAUAUUACAAUUAAGAGAAAUUUAAUAUGCAUAUGUAUUACCACCACACUUCUCUUUAAAAAAUAAUUUU